rnacentral:rRNA from 1 species
GUGGGUGAGAAUCCCACAGGCCGUAAACCCAAGGUUUCCAGGGGAAGGUUCGUCCGCCCUGGGUUAGUCGGGACCUAAGCUGAGGCCGAAAGGCGUAGGUGAUGGACAACAGGUUGAUAUUCCUGUACUACCGAUAACCGUUUGAGAGAAGGGAUGACACAGUAGGAUAAGCUAAGCACACUGUUGGUUAUGUGUGCCCAAGCAUUGAGGCAGUCAAAGUAGGCAAAUCCGCUUUGAUAAUGCUGGGAUGUGAUGGGGAGCGAAAUUUAGUAGCGAAGUAGCUGAUUUCACACUGUCAAGAAAAGUCUCUAUCGAGGUUAAAGGUACCCGUACCGCAAACCGACACAGGUGGGUGAGGAGAGUAUCCUAAGGCCAGCGAGAGAACUGUUGUUAAGGAACUCGGCAAAAUGACCCCGUAACUUAGGGAUAAGGGGUGCCACCAUCAGGUGGCCGCAGAGAAUAGGCC